AUUGAACGCUGGCGGCAGGCCUAAUACAUGCAAGUCGAGCGGACGAAGGGAGCUCUUGCCUCGCUUCCGCGACCGACGGGCGAGUGAGUCACACGUAGCUGACCGGCCGAGAGGGCUAACGUCCCGUCGCGGGCCCUAAUACAGCACACGUCCUGAGGGUGAACGGCAGGGUUCUUCGGUCCUCACCCUUUUAGCUGUCCCUUGGUCGUAUUAGCUAGUUGGUUAGGUAAAGGCCUACCAAGGCGACGAUCCGUAGCUGGUCUGAGAGGAUGAUCAGUCACACUGGAACUGAGACACGGUCCAGACUCCUACGGGAGGCAGCAGUGGGGAAUAUUGGACAAUGGGCGAAAGCCUGAUCCAGCCAUGCCGCGUGUGUGAAGAAGGUCUUCGGAUUGUAAAGCACUUUUAGUUGGGAGGAAGGGCAGUGAGUUAAUACCUUGCUGUUUUGACGUUACCAACAGAAUAAGCACCGGCUAACUUCGUG
rnacentral:rRNA from 1 species